UUAGCAAGCGAUGGGCCGUAGAGUAGGCAAAGGGCAUAAUUUUCAGUUAAUUAUCUGAUACAGACUUUCAGUGGGAAAGAAAAAGAAAUGAUUGAUAAGUGUUGGAGAAGAACCUAAAGUUGGGUGGUUAAUCUCCCCAAAUCAAUUAGAGCAAAAUUCAAGUACUAGAGUCUGUGUACAGAGAGCAGAUGAAUUCACCCAAAGUCAGGCCACAUGUGCGGCAGAGAGAAAUGGAGAUGAGUGACGCAAACACAUCUGCGAGAGAGAUUGUGAUGCACCACACGAUCCAAACUGGGCAAGCGGAGUGUGGGAAAAGGGGACCCACAGACAGUGAGUAGUGUCUUCGGGCAGGUACUGAAAUCAAUCAAUUGUAGCCUCAAGAGUCUUGUGUGAAGACAGCUGACGCAAAUUCUGGUGCAUACUCUUCCAAGAAGGGGGGCCCUCUCUACUUUCCUUUAAGAUACUCGUUCAGUACCGUGUCAGGCUGGUGGUCCAUUAGGAGUCCUGGAUUGUACAAAUUAAAACGACGUGCUCCAUGCUGCACCCUUGUGUGAGCCUACAAUCAAAUAAGAUGGCAAUAACUCACAUUCUAGCACCUAAAAUUGACUUGGGAAGAAGGCAAGAGGUAAAUAACAAAUGCAUUGGAAGCUGAAGACUCUGGCUCCAAGGCCAAAGGCACCCUUCUAGGACACGCGUUUCAAAGCAGUGUGCUGCACAGGGCUUGACUCUUCCCCUCCCCACACAAGAUAAUAUAGAACUGAAUGUAAUAAACCCAACUAAUUUUUAAAAUACAUGGUUGACAUUGAAAUUAAGAAAAGGAAAUCCCCAAGUAGAAGAAAUGAGUAAAAUAUUCAAAAUCAAUGUAAUGAGCAAGAGCUAAACCCAGUGGCCUAUGAAGGAACCAGAAUGGGGGAAAACUUCUCGAGGGCUAUGGUUUUAAUGCAUGUUGGGUUCUGGAUCUGAGGGAAUACUGGCGCCUAGAAAAAGGCCUUUUAAUAAAUCUGAGGACCAACCUGUAAACUGGAAACUAGAAUUAUCCUAUUCACUAAGUCCCUGAGACUGCAAAGAAGCCAGUCAGCUAAUCUACAUUGUGCAAGAAAAAAGAAAUAGGAAGCUCGCCUCAGAACCGUGCUGAGGGUUUUACACAAAUUUGCAUGAACCUGUCUGUGUGGAAAACCUGGCCUGAUAAAUUCUUAUAUAAACCGAAACCCCUGGGGCCCUGGCAGAGUCAAACUUGCUCUCACCACCCUGGAAGACCUCAGCAAAGCGGCACCCUUGACUGCUGUGGAAACAACUCCCACAGAAGACAAGUUUCUAGUAAGCUUUAGAAUUAAUCCACAAGAGGAGACAGAGAAUUAGAGGAGAGAGAGAUGCGGUCCAACGAAACAUGACUAAUAAAAAAAUCAAAAAACACCUUAAAUGAAGGAUAUGUACAAGGUUCAAAGAGGAGAAACUAUUAUGCAAGACCAAGACUUGAUAAAAAAGAUCAGAUGUGUUUUAAAAAGAAGAACAGACAUUUUAAAAAUAAAAAAUAUGGUGGUUCACAUUUCAAUAUCUGGCCAAAUGACAUAACUAAUGUCAGGUUAGCUUUGCUAUCGUGAACAAGAAAAAUAUAUAAAAUACAUGAAGCAAUUGUUUUCAGAUAUAAAUAAUAACCAGACCAGAAUUAUGAUCCCUGAGAGUAGACAAAUACAUUUAUUGGCUUCUACAACUGCCCUGCUUUCUCUGUGGAUUUUUGGAUUCCAGCAAGGAGAGAGAAACCCCAGCAGAGCACAGUGGACCCCUAAACUUAAAGAGACAGAAAUCUAGGGUCAGAGUGUGAGACUGCAGGGAUUUUCUGGGAAGGGAACUCAACAGAGAGAGCUCAAGACAGAAAGAGCUCCAGAAGUCUGUCUACAAAUUGCCUGGAAUCACAUCCUGUAAGAGGCAGCAAAGGCUGAUGAUCCCUGGGAGAAGGGAAAUGGGAGAACUUCACCAUGGCAACAGCAAAACAAUGGAGACAGUUGCCAGGCAACAGCCUAGCAAGCCAUUUUUCUCUGAGGGAGAUUGGAAUUUGAUAUAGCCAAGGUGGCUGAUUUACAGAGCAGAGUAUCAGAGAGGAGAGUACUGCUCAAGGACCCGCAGAGGGAUACUUUGCUGAGUACUACCUGCUUGUGAUGUGAAUUAUCUAAGGCCAGAGAAAUAAUCACCAGAAAUACAUGGACAAAAAAUUCUUGCCAUUCAACAAGGCUGGAAAUAAUCUGUGUUCUCACUAGCUAGAGUGGAGAGAUAACAUAACACACAGGGCAGCAGGUAGAAACCCAAAGGGGUGUUGCCUUAGUCCCAAGAUUAAGUUAGCUCUAGACUAAAGGCUGUUCUGAGUUCACUUAAUAAAACUUCAGAACAGAAAAGAAAUUGAAGUCUUCUUUUAGACUUUCCUUCAUUGCUGUAAAGUACGUAUAACAUAAAGAGUAACAUUUCAUCCA